GAGAUAUGUGUGACACUCUGAAGAAUCUGUCAAGAUGAAGUCUCUGCUUCUUCAAAUUCACAGCCUGUGGUCCUGAUCCUGUAAUUUACUCUGCACGUUCCUUUCCUCAUGGAAACCUAAACAGUCAAGAGCAGGACAUUGGGACAGUGACACAGGAAGGGAGAAGGAGACAGUUGAAUUAUUUUAGCUGAAAAUUACCAGAAGAGUCGGCCUGAGGCAGACAUCCAGCAUGGUGUAUUUGAGCUUGAGCAAGGCAUCACUAAUGGGAAGAGUUAAGCAGCUUUAACUCCAGACAGAGCUCACAGGGGGAAAUUAGAAACUGGCACUGUGGAUGGCCCCACCAGAAAACAUGUAGGGAUGUGUGUGAAAUCCUGCUGCUACGCAUCCGGUUGUCCAAUUGCUACAGGCAAGUACUGACCUGUGCUUGUAAUGUGACAUUUUCAGGCUCCAGAGGUGGACUCGCUGUUUUGCAGACCUACCAGCUGCUUCAUACUUUGCUGUUGAAUCAAAUGCUGGGGAGAAAUGUUAUUUUAGUGAUGGGAAAUUGUGAAGAGAAACACUUUGGCUUUCUCUUUCCAUGUGGGAGGUGCAGGCACAGGGGGAAAGGAGCCUGCUGGUGUGCAGCACACGUGGUGUGUGUGGCAGAAGGUUGUUGCCAUCGUGGCUGUGAGUGGUCCAGGGGACUCACUUGGCAACCUCUGCACCAAAUGAGGUUUUGGCAGGGGGUUGAGAGGGCUGUGAAGGUCACCAGCAGAGAGUUAGCAGCUCAAAUGUCCAGUCUGCAUUUUCCCUUUCUGUAGGAAGGGGUAUUUUCCUUUCUUGUUACAGCUCAUCUAGAGCUCUGUAAACAGCACUCUCUCCUUGAUGUUGAUACCGUCAAAUGAUUUUACUGUCCUCUUAGGGAUUUACUUAUCCAAACUGUACUGUUUAGCUAUUUAAUCUUGCCUUCAGUUAUUCAAUUGUUGUUCAUUGUUGAAUUCUUUCCAAUAAGCCAACAUCUCUUUGACACACGAGUGCCUGCUGUUGUUUUAUCUGUUUUAUAGGACGGCUCAAACCCAGUAACACACUGCAGAGAAAAGCCAUCUCCCUUCUGCUCAAUGGCACAAUGUUCUUCACCUCUCUACAGGUCCAAAUGAGGCCCUCUUAUUUUAUAAACCAGCAUUUAGUUUGAUACCUCUUCUUUUCCAUUUGUUAAGCCCUUUUCAGCAACUGCUAUGGAUUAUUUUUCCAAAUGUUUCCUUGCAUUGUCCAUGUCCCAGCAGGAGCUGUUAGAUGCUGUUUUCCUUCCCAAUCCCCCAUUUCAGAAACUUUUUUUUGAGAGAUCAUUAACUAGAAACCAAACCUCACACACUCCUCCUCAUUACUACAUCCAAAACAAUCUUUUAACAGAAAGAGAAAGAAAUGCUUUACAGGUUCUUAUGUCUCCAGCUUGGGAAAUGAUUUGUCUCCAUUGACAGUUGCACUGGGCACUCCCUGGGGUCUGAGCAGGCUGACAGUUUGGAUAUAUGGAAAGGGAAAUGUAUUAAAAUGGUGAGCAAGGCCUUUCUGGAGAAGUUCAGCCCUUGGUUAUUCUCAGCACUAAUGUAUUCUGCUGAAACUCAGGCAGAGGUUUUAAGAGCUGAUUGUUUGGACAUGUAUAAGCUUUGGAAUGGUAUAUGCACUUUGUAUGUGCAGAAGACACUUCAUUUGUAUAUUCAUUUUGGAUUAGAAUAUGAAAGGACUCAAUUUCAACCUAAUCUGUAAAUGACACCUAAGCCCAACCUGUGAAACAGGCACUACGUACCUGAAGACCAUUUAUUGGGAUGUCUAUGCAAUUUUUGUCUUUCUAAAGAAACAUUUUUGACUGUUUCUUCCCUGUGGGCAUUAGAGGUGGAAAUAGGAAGGGGUUUGUACCUAACCUCACAGUUAAGGAAAGGAGAGGCAAAUGGCUUUGUCUGUGUGGCUACCCAGUAUCAUUGCGUCAAACUGGCAGUGAACUGGAAGCUUCUCCAAAGCCGUGGGAGCCAAAUGUCCCACCCUGUUUGCCUGUGGCUCAUGAGUUAUUUGAUUUCUACUUUUGUGGUCUGAGCCCUUCAAAGCUUUGUCUUGUAUGGAUAAACAAAAACUUGCUACAGCCUAUGGACAGACCUGGAAACCAUUGGGUGCAGAAACAUCACAGGACUUCAAGAAUGAAUGCAGACUUCUUUUAAACUGAAAAUAAUAUAUACUUUAAAAGGGUAGAACAUGGAAAUACAUUUGUAAUGGCCAUUAUCAGGAGCUGCUGGCAGUUUCACUGAACAGAAAAGUCCUUUUCCUGGAGAUUUCUGCUACCCCUCAGGCUUCUGUCCAUUUCUGUGUUGUGACUUGCAGUGUUUAAGUAUAAUUAAGUUGAAAUGCUUAAAUUUUCUUUGGCUAUUCAGCCCCAGCCACUUUUGGGAAGGAAUUGGCCAGAAUCCCUGGACCUAAAAUAAUCAAAUGCCUGUCUUUCCAUUAAAAAGGCUGCCAUUUAUCUGACAAGCAGUGCAAAAUGGAAUAGGUAGCACAGUUCAAGCAUCAUCUGAGAAACCUGCUGUUGCAAAACCAGGCAAGUGGCUUGCACAUAAGCAGAUGGUACCUUUGCCAAUACCCAGUUGCUGCAUGGAAUGUAAGUAUAGUUGGUUUCUUAACAUGUGUUACUUUUAUUAUCAGUCUCUUGGUUUCUACCACUCUUUAUAAAUACUCUGGCCACAACUUGUAGCCUUUACAGGCUCAUCCAAGGAGCAUGGCCUUUCAGGCACUCCUUUUGAGAGUAUUUACUGUGCUCCAGGAGAGGAUGCCUUUGUUUCAGGAUUGUUCUGGGCAUGAGAAAUAAAAACCAAAAUGGAGAUGGUGGCCAGCACAAAGAACCGACCAAAGUAAUUUUAAUGAAUUUCUUUCCAUACCUGCCAGUCCACCCUCCCCCGCAGGAAAAACAACUCUCAGAUGAAUAAAGCAUAUGGCACAGAAGAUGAAGUAGCAAUGCCAAGUUUGCCUUUGCCUUAGCAGAACUCACUGCAAAAUGCUGAACCUGCAGAUCUUCUAAGUAUGCUUGUUCCCACUUCACUGCCUUCUUAGCUGGAAUUGUGCAGUCUCACCGAAUCCUCAGGACAUUAUUGUGGGUACAGUGCUACAUUCAAACUACCUGCCAUGGAGAGCAGUGCAUGUUGAGCAGCAAAGAAAACCCAUUGGUGAGGUGGCCCUAAGUAUUUGAGAAGGAUCUGAAGCCUACACUAACCUGCCUUCUGCAUGGGCUACCCAUUUGUGACAGGCAUGUCUGCUGGUGUGUGGUUAGAUACCUUGUCCCUGGCUGUGGUUUGUUGUAUUUGAGCAGUGCAGGAGUGAGGCAUUCUGUGUAAGUCCUAUCACCAUGACUUUCUCUACAGUGAGCAGACAGACAGCAAAUCCCACAUGUUAUUUAUCCUACAGGAAGUGUGGAGUGUUGUGAGAGGGUGCCCCUCUGUCUGCGUAAGCUCAGAGAAAACCCUCAAUACCAGCUCAGCCUAUGUCGAGCCAUUACAGGUCUGUCUGCUCCCAGCUCAGCCCUAUCAAGUCAGGCUCUGGGAAGACAUGGGGCUGGUGGGUCCUGGUGUGGCACGGGUAAAUGGGAUGUCACCACCAACCGCUCUGCUCUCUUUUGAAGGACCUAGGGCACCGGUUGAAUAUCCAGUUCCUCUCAGCACUACACCUCUCCAUGGCUGGAUGACACUGAAGAUGAGUGUCUGAAUUAAGCUAGACAUCUAAGGCCCUUAUUGGACCCAUGUCUGUGGGGCCUGAAGCUGAGCAGACUUAUACACAAGGCUAAACAUUCACAUGUCAUAUCCUGUUCUAGUAGUUGUUUUAAUGGAUGCUCUGCCAACAAUGACACUUGGGUUUAGGUGGCUGAUCCUUUGUGACUGUAAGGGCCUUUAAUGAAAGGUUUUGUCUCCAUAAAGGACAAUAUGUUCUUUAUCCAGCUUCAACUUUUGAAAGAAACACCACAAAUGUUUUUGGAUUGGAUGUGAAAUGUUGUGUAAAUUCUGUAAUACCAAGGUGGAAAAUCUGUUCUUUCCUUAUUAAUAAACGGUAUAUUAAA